ACGGGAGGCAGCAGUGGGGAAUAUUGGGCAAUGGGCGAAAGCCUGACCCAGCGACGUCGCGUGAAGGAAGAAGGCCCUCGGGUUGUAAACUUCAGUCAACAGGGAAGAAACAAAUGACGGUACCUGUGGAGGAAGCCACGGCUAACUACGUGCCAGCAGCCGCGGUAAUACGUAGGUGGCAAGCGUUAUCCGGAUUUACUGGGUGUAAAGGGCGCGUAGGCGGGGAUGCAAGUCAGGUGUGAAAUCUAUGGGCUUAACCCAUAAACUGCAUUUGAAACUGUAUCUCUUGAGUGUCGGAGAGGUAGAUGGAAUUCCUAGUGUAGCGGUGAAAUGCGUAGAUAUUAGGAGGAACACCAGUGGCGAAGGCGAUCUACUGGACGAUAACUGACGCUGAGGCGCGAAAGCGUGGGGAGCAAACAGGAUUAGAUACCCUGGUA
rnacentral:rRNA from 1 species